GCAUAUUGGUGUGUGUGUGUGUGUGUGUGUGUGUGUGUGUGUGUGUGUGUGUGUGUGUGUGUGUGUGUGUGUGUGUGUUUCUGUCUGUGUGUGACCAUGUUACAUCUGUUCAUGUGUCUGGGUAUAGUCAGUCUUGGUGACUACGUGGGCUGAACUCCAUGUCCUUCUGUGUCGUGUUGAAAAGAGACCCAAAUGAGUGUUGUGUGUGGACACAACACCCCCUCGGUCCGGGCAUGGAAUUGGGGGUGGCCAUUGGUCCAUCCUGCCUGCUCCUGUGCCCGGGGCAGAGCCCGAGUGUCCCUGCCUGUUCCUCUUCUUGGUGAUCCCUGCUGAGUGUUCUGUCUCGUUCUUUGUCCCACCUCUGCCUCUCCCAGCACUGCUACCUUUUCUGAGGAAUGUAGCAUCCACUGCAGCUGGCCACACGAGGCCCCUCUGGGAGCCCUGACACCCCUCCGCCGGCAGCUUUGCCCACUGAAUGCAUCUGCAGCAUGGAGCAUGCCCGGCUAGGGCCCUGGCCAGGGCCUGGGAAGCAAAGAUGCCUGGGGAGCUGAGGCCUUGGAGAUUGCUUCCUCCCUCAGGCUGGAGCCACCUCCUUCCGACAAGCAAAACAUUGGAGGUCUUAGUUUGCAGGGCUGCUGGCCAGACACCUUAGGGGGAAGUUCCAGUACCUCCCUUAGCACUGCUCCUCACUUUCUGUCUCCCUCCAAGCCCCGCACCUCUGACAUGCCAAAGGAGCUCUCCAGGGGACCCAGCAGGUGUGGGCGGGAGGUGUGGCCAUCCAGGAGGCUGCCUCAGAGGGCAUGUACUCUGCCAGAGCAGACAGUCCCUGGAGGCACCCGUGUCCUCCCCAGGCUCAGAAGGUGGCCCUGACCCCACUGGGCUCAUCCUGGUAGGGCCUGGCCUGUGAGGAGGUGCCGAGGGUGGGGCUGAUUGCUGGGUUACGGAGGGCAGGACGGACUUGCUCUGAGAAUCCUGCCUGGGGAUUAGCUGCCUGAAGUUCAUCUGGGGCUUUGUCCUGCUCAUUUCUAGACCAGGGACCAUGUGGGAGCUCAGCUCAUGUGGGCUCCAGCCUCCUGGCCCCACAGACAGCCUGGCUCUGGACUCUGGUCUGCCACAGCCACCAGCUCUGUACAAGCAAUACUCAUGCUCGGCCUCCUGCCUCCCUGAGCUCUCCUGCUGCCCGCUGCCCACGCCUGCUGCCCGCUGGAGAGUGACCUGGCCUGCUCCUGGCGCCUACCCGCUCUGCUUUCAUCCCACCCAUCUGGCUGGAGCUUCGCAAAGCUGUUCACGCUCUGACUUGGUCUGUAGGCUGGGUUCUGUGGGUGGGACCAGUGCCGGGACUGAAGUCUGGCUUAGGUCAAGGGUGAAAGGUGAGAGGUUGCGCAGGAGCUGGAUAUAGCAGCCCUUGGAUCCGUGUUUGGGAAGGAAAGAGUGUGGGGGAGGGUGUCACGGAAUGAGGCAAGCUCUCUCUUCCCCAGACAUCAUCCCCAAUGCUGCAGUGACUCCAUGUGCCGGAGGCAGUGCAGGCUCAGAGCCUGAGUGCUUGGUCUCCAUCUGUAACCAAAGGAGGUGGGAUCUGAGGGAGGUGGAGGGAAGCUCUCUGGGGAUACUGCCAUCUCCACCAAGGGGCGUCCCUUUUGGGCAGGAUCCGCCUUUUCUCCCAAAACACAAGGGGAGGAAACCAGGACCCCGUCAGUCCUGCCCACAGACAAAGAGGAGGUAAUACGGGCAGUAAAGAAACCGACGCUAUGAGCGCCUGGGCCUGAGCCUGCAUUCUGUAUCAGCACGAGACCACUGUGUGCGUGGAAGAGAGGGCGGGCCAGCUGGGCCCCACCCUCUCUCUCUGCAGAAAUCCUCUCCCGUUGUCAGGGCUGGGUAACGCCUGCACGUCGCACGGUUCUACAGUGAAGCCAGGGGCUCUGCACUCUGGUCCGAGACUGGGAGAGUGAGGACCCGCGCUCAGGGAGGUGUCCUGUCUGUGAUGUGCUCACCUCAGAGAGCUUGCCCCCAGGAUGGUGUGAAAACACACGAGGGUGGUGGGCUUAUGGUGAACGUGUAGACGCCUGCCGAUGUAGCACCGAAUGGCGAUCCUCAGACCAUGCAGCCACCCCCAGGGAAGGGGGACGUCAUCCUCAUUCCUCAAAGGGCCCAGAAAGGCGUGAUUCUGAGAAGGUGGGAGCUGCCAGCAGUUAGGCUACCGCUGGGUAGCUGGAGGCCGGGUGGGUUAGCACAGGGGAAGUGCCAGCCAGACGGGGCACCUGGCGUGUGGAUAGAGCUGCCUGCAACCCCAGCUGCCAAAGCCGCCAGGGUAGGCCCGCUCCUCAGUUCCAUCUCUAAUGGGCAGUGACCCCGCCCCGUGUUGACCUUGGGAAUGAUUCUUUUUAACCCUUUGUACCAAAUAAGUGACUGAUUCCACCUAGAUCUGCCCCCAGGAGGGUGAAGUCAUGUGAGGCUGAUAUGUGUGUGUGUUGGAGACCGGCUGGAGGUCGGGGUCUGUUUCUCAGCACCCAGGGUGCAGGGGCCUGAGAAGCAGCUCUGGAACCAGCCCGUCGCAGGGGAGGAGGGAGCUCAAGGCGGGAGCGUCUGUUCUUUCAGAGGAGAUGGUGGGGGAGGAAGGAACAAGAAACACCCCCCCCCCGCCUCCCCCGAGUUCUCUCCAACCUGGGACCAGCUCACGGCUAGGGACUGUAUCCUGGCCCCUAACCCUCCCUCCCCGCAGCCCAGGUGAAGCCCGGAGCUGAUCUCAGACGGGGGCUCUGUCACUCCAUCUCCUCUGCUCAGGCAGGCUCUGGAAGACAAAGGCCCUGCGGGCGAUGCGGGCUGCCGGCAGGAACCGUGAGAAUGACUCAGAGCGCUGACUUCACAUUUCUGCUCUGUUGAAUCCCUCCCGCUCCCUUCAAAGAUGGCUUCCCUGCAGGGAAGUCUGUGAUGGGCCUUGGGGAUGAAUGAGGCUCCACUGAUGAGCCACGUCUUGGUUGGACCAGGGCGGGUGUGACCCUGCGGGAAAGAACUGUCUCCAGAAUGAUUGCCGUCCAGGCAGGCCCACCACCAGCUCUCCCGGGAAAGGCACACGGCCCGGGCGCUGCCAGGACUGGCCGAGGCAGAACCUAGGAGCUCCAGAGAGAGGGCGCCUGAGCCGCCCAUCCCUUGUGGGAUCACUGCCUGUUGCAUGGCACCCACCAGGGCGAGCCUGCCCCAGCUCUUCUUUACUGCCAGCCUCGAGGAGGGCAGAAGCACCCUUUAAAGACAAUAGAACCCUCCAAGAGUACUUCCUUGGAAAUGAAAUGUAGCACAAUCUGAGACUGCGUUGCGAGGAGCCCUGACACCCAGCCAGGGUUCUUGCUCUUCACCUUGCUGCCCGGGAGACCUGUGCUCCUCCCCUGGGGCUCCAGAGCUCCUAAUACCUCUGACCCCCCAUCUCCCUUGGCCCAGAAAGCAGCACGGCUUCAGCGAGUCUGCUGUUCUGUUUCUCUGAUUGCUCCCUGCACUGUGCAAACUCUGCAAGAAAUUGCUGCCUUUGCUUGACAUUGUACUGAGUUGUCCUCCACCUGGGGGGAGAGAGAUGGCAUGUCAUUCAGGGCCAAGGGAUGGUCCUGCAGUGGCUUGCAAGGCGAUGGAUAAGAGGAGGCCCGCUGCCCUGCUGACCCCUCCCUCUCUCAUCCCCUCCUCUGCAUUCUCUUCUCCAGUAUCCCCACAGUAAAGAGGCUCUUUGAAAUGCUGCUUCCUGUACUGAGUUAUCUUUCACUGGAUGAUCAGGGAGGAGAUGGGAAUGCAGACUCAUUGUCCCCGGUCUUCUCAAGUCUGCUUUCACUCAGGUCAGAAGAGAUUGGGGCAAAACAAAACAAUCAUGGUUGAAGGGCUGGGGAGCCCUGCCCCUGAUCGGGGCCACAUUGACCUGGUCUGGCUGGGAAAGGGUUAUUUUGAAAGAGUGCCUGAGCAUCUCAGAGCAAUGUCAGUGAUGCCAAAGAGAGCAACUUGGCCUCCUUGGGCACCAACUCCGCGUUGGUCUGCCUGAUGGUGGGACCUUGUUCUCUGACAAAAGGGCUUAAUCUUUCCAUGUAGCAAAGCAACUCCCCCACCAUCCCCCCACCCCUAGCUUGGGCUUUUGUGGGCCCAGCACGGCUGUGCCUGUGAGGGAAACCACAGCAGAGAGAGACAGUGCAUUCUCUUAGGGGCCUAGGCUGCUCACGAGAAGCAUAAGUGCUUUGGCAAAACCUUCCAGCACUCCGGCUGGAGGCUUGGCCAGGAAGGACCGGGGCCAUGGGCCUACCAAGGAGUUCACCCCAAUAGCAGGAAGGACCUGUGGGACCGGGUUCCAGAGAGCAUGGCUAGCAAAUGAGGAUUUACCCCCUUGGUCCAUGGCCCGAACAGCUGGCUAUAGAGCAUCAAAGGCUGUCAUAGAAAGUUUGCCAGAAACAGCAACCAUGCGCAAGACUCCUCACUUUUCUGGGCCUCAGCUUUUCAUCUGCAAAAUCAGAGCAUUUGCUAGCUGCUGCACGGUUCCCUCCAGGUGUUGAAGGUCUGAUCUGGAGCCGAUGAGGGCUGAGCCUGGUGCACACGGUUCCACGGACUGGUUUCUUCCAGCCCUGGGUGCCCAAGCCGGGUGCAGGUCCUCAUCUGUCCACGCCCAGAUGCUGCUUCAGACUAGAACUCUGGGAACCCUAACAGACUGCUCCCCCCUCUUUGUGGUCCAUUCUCUCUUAUUCGUGUGUGAUGAUGAAAAACAAUUAAGAGGUGUCCUACAACGGACAAUUUUCAAGGUGCUGAUGUGAUGUUACAACCUCAGCUGCACCCUGUGUAGGUUAGUAUCCCCACCAGCAACUGGUCCUCAUAGCUGCUUCUAGAAGGACGUCGGUGGGAGAUUUGGACAUGGGAGAAUUUUAAAGGAAAUGCUCUCUGAUGGGAGGAGAGAGGGGACUUCCUGUCCAAGUAUUUUGCUUCUUAAAACCACUCCUCUCUCCAGAAUGUCUUUUACUGGGUGACAUCUCCGCAGGCUGAGUGGCUGCUUCGGUAGGAAAAGUUGGCCUGAUUGUUCUAUCUGCUCCUUUAGAGAGUACAUUCACAGAAGAAAGGAACCUUUUUUUAAUUUUAUUAUUAUUAUUUUUAGAAUAUCCAAACGCAUCCUUCAAAGAAAGAGAUAGCUGAUAGGGACUGACAAGCACACUGUUUAGAUAAGAAGCAAAUUAGCCUUUUAUAUCUGUGCUCUAUACAUUUUCUAUGUGCAGCAUCUUUCCAACCUGGUUGUGGCUCCUGGGUGGCAGGUGGACAGCUGGGAAGGACUUGCCAGCCGUUCAUACAACGUUCUUGCCAAUUCCCUUGAGAAAAUUCUUCACAUGGCUUCUGCAUGUACAGUAUUUGGGCAGCAAAAAAAAUGAUUAAAGUUGGUUUAAAACUGG